AGGCGCCUACACUGGGUCUUUAUCAUCCGUUUAAGGAGUUCUGGGUUCUGCUUCUCGAACGUCCACGUGGAGAAGUAAGCGAGUGUAAAAUGACGCUUAUCAUGGGCUCCUAAAAUGGGAAAAGGCCAAUGCAGGCUAGUGCAAAUAAAUAUGCCAUUGGUAAAACCAUAAAACAUGUAGCAUGUUAACAACAUGCUGAGAACACGAGGACCAGGAGCAUGUGUGUUCUUGAACGGCAGGUGACCUGAAUGCCGUUAAAAGCUGCAAAAGCAGCAUGAACUGGAUCCAGUGACCUUUUGAUGCUGUACUCCGUGUAUGUGUUUAGAUGAUCUUCAAUUUGUUUUAUAUUUUGUAAAUAAAAUCUAUUGCUUUACCUUUA